rnacentral:rRNA from 1 species
CGGAGCUUGCUCCGGAUCCCUUAGUGGCGAACGGGUGAGUAUCGCGUGGGAAUCUACCUAGAAGUGGGGAAUAACUGUUGGAAACGACAGCUAAUACCGCAUAAUCCCUUCGGGGCAAAGGCUUCGGCCGCUUUUAGAUGAGCCCGCGUUAGAUUAGGCUGUUGGUGAGGUAAUGGCUCACCAAACCUACAAUCUAUAGCUGGUCUGAGAGGAUGAUCAGCCACACUGGGACUGAGACACGGCCCUGACUCCUACGGGAGGCAGCAGUGGGGAAUAUUGGACAAUGGGGGAAACCCUGAUCCAGCAAUGCCGCGUGAGUGAUGAAGGCCUUAGGGUUGUAAAACUCUUUCAGAAGUGAAGAUGAUGACGGUAACUUCAGAAGAAGCUCCGGCUAACUCCGUGCCAGCAGCCGCGGUAAUACGGAGGGAGCUAGCGUUGUUCGGAAUUACUGGGCGUAGAGGGCGUGUAGGCUGUUAGGUAAGUCAGAGGUGAAAUCCCUAAGCUCAACUUAGGAACUGCCUUUGAUACUAUCUUACUAGAGAUCGAGAGAAGUUGGCGGAAUUCCAAGUGUAGAGGUGAAAUUCGUAGAUAUUUGGAAGAACACCAGUGGCGAAAGCGGCCAACUGGCUCGUAUCUGACG